rnacentral:rRNA from 1 species
GUGUCAGCAGCCGCGGUAAGACGAAGGAUGCAAGCGUUAUCCGGAUUCAUUGGGUUUAAAGGGUGCGUAGGCGGACUGAUAAGUCAGUGGUGAAAUCUCUCAGCUUAACUGAGAAACUGCCAUUGAUACUGUCGGUCUAGAGUACAGAUGAUGUGGGCGGAAUAUGACAUGUAGUGGUGAAAUACUUAGAUAUGUCAUAGAACACCGAUUGCGAAGGCAGCUCACAAAACUGUAACUGACGCUGAGGCACGAAAGUGCGGGGAUCAAACAGGAUUAGAUACCCUGGUAGUCCGCACCGUAAACGAUGAUUACUCGUUGUUGGCGAUAUGACAGUCAGCGACCAAGCGAAAGCGAUAAGUAAUCCACCUGGGGAGUACGCCGGCAACGGUGAA